rnacentral:rRNA from 1 species
GACGAACGCUGGCGGCGUGCCUAAUACAUGCAAGUCGAACGCAUUUUCUUUCACCGUAGCUUGCUACACCGAAAGAAAAUGAGUGGCGAACGGGUGAGUAACACGUGGGUAACCUGCCCAUCAGCGGGGGAUAACACUUGGAAACAGGUGCUAAUACCGCAUAAUUCCAUUUACCGCAUGGUAGAUGGAUGAAAGGCGCUUUUGCGUCACUGAUGGAUGGACCCGCGGUGCAUUAGCUAGUUGGUGGGGUAACGGCCUACCAAGGCUGCGAUGCAUAGCCGACCUGAGAGGGUGAUCGGCCACACUGGGACGGAGACACGGCCCAGACUCCUACGGGAGGCAGCAGUAGGGAAUCUUCGGCAAUGGACACAAGUCUGACCGAGCAACGCCGCGUGAGUGAAGAAGGUUUUCGGAUCGUAAAACUCUGUUGUUAGAGAAGAACAAGGAUGAGAGUGGAAAGUUCAUCCCUUGACGGUAUCUAACCAGAAAGCCACGGCUAACUACGUG